UGGGGAAUAUUGCGCAAUGGACGAAAGUCUGACGCAGCAACGCCGCGUGAGGGAUGACGGCCUUCGGGUUGUAAACCUCUUUCAGCAGGGACGAAGCGAGAGUGACGGUACCUGCAGAAGAAGGACCGGCCAACUACGUGCCAGCAGCCGCGGUAAUACGUAGGGUCCGAGCGUUGUCCGGAAUUAUUGGGCGUAAAGGGCUCGUAGGCGGUUCGUCACGUCGGGAGUGAAAACUCGGGGCUUAACCCCGAGCCUGCUUCCGAUACGGGCAGACUAGAGGUAGGCAGGGGAGAGCGGAACUCCUGGUGUAGCGGUGGAAUGCGCAGAUAUCAGGAAGAACACCGGUGGCGAAGGCGGCUCUCUGGGCCUUACCUGACGCUGAGGAGCGAAAGCGUGGGUAGCGAACAGG
rnacentral:rRNA from 1 species